GAUUUAAAAGACUACAUUUAUUGCUGUGACAACAUCAGCUACUGUCUACCGAUCCAAAAGAAGAAGCACAGGAAUGAGAGGGUUGACACCAGCAAGAAGAAGAAAAGAAAGGAGGCUAAGCACCUCAAGAAGGAGAUGGCAGACAGGAGGAGAAAGGAGGCCCUUGAGAUGGACAUCUCCAAGGUUUAGAGUGUGGAGACUGUAGUAGUGUCUCUGGAGGAGGUGAAGGAUAGGCCUGCAGAGAGACUUGAGGGUGAGCAUACAGUGAUCGCUAUCCACCAUGCUGAGAUGGCUAAUGCUAGGCUGGUGUCUCGCCCAAGAGCUGAGAAAGAGAACAUCAGUGAGCCUGAUCAAGAGACCAGCAAAGAGGGAUGCACCCUGAUUGAAUCAUCUGUUGACCAAGGGAUACCUCAGCUGGACGAGGGGGGUGGUAGGAGCCCAUCUCCACUGAAGGUUGAUGGAGAUGGUGAUUGAGACUUCAGCAAAGAGGACUGCACCCUGAAUGAGUCAUCUAUUGACCAUGGGACACAUCAGCUGGACGAGGGAGGCGGUAAGACCUCAUCCCUGUUCCAUGCUAAGGGAGACGGAGCGUGACCUGUGCCUCAGUUGAAACUGGACUGGCACAGACACCAGCCUACAAUUGGGAAGCCCACACCACAGGCCGGUGCGUGGCAUACGCCUCACACCCCUGAGAAGAGUGACGUGA